rnacentral:snRNA from 1 species
AUCACUUCUCGGCCUUUUGGCCAAGACCAAGUGUAGGUAUACAGUGCAGUUACAUUCAUUAUUGGGAUCUUGUACCUUUACAUGACAGGUGGUCUUGGUUCUCAUUUUUCCCAUUGUCCCUGCCCUCCCUUC